UCUGAGCUCUCUUAGACACUGCUUCCAGAGGGACAGAGCCAGAGAAAAGACCACCCCCCUGCAGCUUCUAGGCAUCAUUACAAAUGAAGGUCUCAAGGCCACGACCAAUUCCAGCUAUCGAAAUAACUGGCCAUCUACCUCUUGUGCUGGGCCCUUCUCCAAGUUAGCAUUCCAUGUAUAAGACUGGGAGACAUGCCUAGUGGCCAAGCCUUCGUCAGAUGCUGACUUUUUCUCCUCUGUGAUGCCCCUCAGCC